UCCCUUGAGGACUAGUGGUUAGGCCUUUGUGCUCUCACCACUGCAGCCCGGGUUCAAUUCCCGGCCAGGAAA
rnacentral:tRNA from 1 species